rnacentral:rRNA from 1 species
UACGUAGGGGGCGAGCGUUGUCCGGAUUCAUUGGGCGUAAAGCGCGCGCAGGCGGUGGCGAGAGCCCGGCGUGAAAGCCCCCAGCUCAACUGGGGAGGCCGGUCGGAGACCUCGUGACUUGAGGCCGGUAGGGGAGAGCGGAAUUCCCGGUGUAGUGGUGGAAUGCGUAGAUAUCGGGAGGAACACCAGUGGCGAAGGCGGCUCUCUGGACCGGUUCUGACGCUCAGGCGCGAAAGCGUGGGGAGCGAGUCCGG